rnacentral:rRNA from 1 species
UGCACUUAAAGAGAUAGUCUGCAUAUUAAUCUUAAGCUUCUUGGCUACAUGGUCGAGUCACCCUCAACACUCAUAUUUCUAGCCUAUGCAAAGAGAGAACAGACAUACAAAGAUAUAUAUGAUGGUAUACUAGUAGGUGGGGGCUUAAUUUAUUGCACCAUUCCACGUACACUGGUGUAUAGUACCACCAUGCUACUUAGCUCAUAACAAGUUACCCGUCACAGCUACAAAAUGUCGCUCACGGCCGACAUCCGCGGUCUGCCCGCCAGUACAUGCAUGCAGCUAGCAGCAUAUGCUAGCGGUCAGUCACAUUGAAGAUUAGUGAUGGAGCAUCAUCAGUUCACCAACACAUGCAGCUCGCCAUCAACCCCGAGAUCGACAACGAGUCCGACUGGCCAAUCAUCGAAUUCAGACAUAUCAUAUAACGUAUGCACCGUUGCACACAAGAUCGGAAGUCCCCUGAGUUUGUAGCCUGCAGAUGAUUCAUGAGAGAUCUGGCUUUUGUGCUAUGUAUUAUGCAUAAUGCCAAUUUGAUCCGCGCUACUCAGCAUUGUCUACGUAGAGUACACCAUUUAAUAAUAACAGACAAACGCAAUCAUGGUUAGACUUAGGAACAUAUGAACUUACUUGCAUAUAAGGGGUUGCCUUGUGAACGGCAUGCUGGAUGUAGCUAUGGAUAGAUACAUCACCUGUUUGGAUCAUAAUUCAGAUACAUCACCUGUUUGGAUAAUAAUUCGGAGAGCAGCUGAGGCGAAUGGCAGGGCAAUUCUCCUUUGGCACGCACGGCUAACUACCUGCAUGCACCGCACACUCACCAGGGACCAGGCUACCGCCAUCAUCGAUACAUGCAUGCCACCGUGCCAAGGGAGAAGCGCCCUGUGAUUCACACACGUCGGUCUAAUUUGUCAUUUCUUCCUAUAAGUCAAGGCUCUUUUGGCUCCAUUCAACUAUAUAUUUUGGUAAUGCAUGCCUGCUCCAUGCUUUCAAGUUCUUGU